CAGCCGCCGCGGGAACACCGAGGGUGCAAGCGUUAAUCGGAAUUACUGGGCGUAAAGCGCGCGUAGGUGGUUUGUUAAGUUGGAUGUGAAAUCCCCGGGCUCAACCUGGGAACUGCAUCCAAAACUGGCAAGCUAGAGUAUGGUAGAGGGUGGUGGAAUUUCCUGUGUAGCGGUGAAAUGCGUAGAUAUAGGAAGGAACACCAGUGGCGAAGGCGACCACCUGGACUGAUACUGACACUGAGGUGCGAAAGCGUGGGGAGCAAACAGGAUUAGAUACCCCAGUAGUCCCUGUCUCUUAUAA
rnacentral:rRNA from 1 species